UACGUAGGGAGCAAGCGGUGUUCGGAUUUACUGGGCGUAAAGGGCGCGUAGGCGGCGCGGUAAGUCACUUGUGAAAUCUCUGAGCUUAACUCAGAACGGCCAAGUGAUACUGCUGUGCUAGAGUGCGGAAGAGGCAACCAGAAUUCUUGGUGUAGCGGUGAAAUGCGUAGAUAUCAAGAGGAACACCUGAGGCGAAGGCGGGUUGCUGGGCCGACACUGACGCUGAUGCGCGAAAGCCAGGGGAGCAACCGGG
rnacentral:rRNA from 1 species